UCCGACCAUAUCAUGUUUAAACACCGGUUCUCGUACGAUCACCGAAGUUAAACAACGUCGAACCUGUUUAGUAUCUAGAUUAGUGACCGCUUGGGAAUACCAGGUGCUGUAAG